CAGUAGCCGCGGGAAUACGAAGGGGGCUAGCGUUGUUCGGAAUUACUGGGCGUAAAGCGCACGUAGGCGGAUCGAUCAGUCAGGGGUGAAAUCCCAGGGCUCAACCCUGGAACUGCCUUUGAUACUGUCGAUCUGGAGUAUGGAAGAGGUGAGUGGAAUUCCGAGUGUAGAGGUGAAAUUCGUAGAUAUUCGGAGGAACACCAGUGGCGAAGGCGGCUCACUGGUCCAUUACUGACGCUGAGGUGCGAAAGCGUGGGGAGCAAACAGGAUUAGAUACCCCUGUAGUCCCUGUCUCUUAUAU
rnacentral:rRNA from 1 species